rnacentral:tRNA from 1 species
GGGCCGGUAGCUCAGCUUGGUAGAGCACUUGCCUUUUAAGCAAGUGGUCGCGGGUUCGAAUCCCGUCCGGCCCA